rnacentral:rRNA from 1 species
AUUGAACGCUGGCGGCAGGCUUAACACAUGCAAGUCGAGCGAGCGGCGGACGGGUGAGUAAUGUCUGGGAACCUGCCUGAUGGAGGGGGAUAACUACUGGAAACGGUAGCUAAUCCCGCAUACCAUCAGAUUUUCCCAGAUGGGAUUAGCUAGUAGGUGGGGUAAUGGCUCACCUAGGCGACGAUCCCUAGCUGGUCUGAGAGGAUGACCAGCCACACUGGAACUGAGACACGGUCCAGACUCCUACGGGAGGCAGCAGUGGGGAAUAUUGCACAAUGGGCGCAAGCCUGAUGCAGCCAUGCCGCGUGUGUGAAGAAGGCCUUAGGGUUGUAAAGUACUUUCAGCGGGGAGGCGUUACCCGCAGAAGAAGCACCGGCUAACUCCGUGCCAGCAGCCGCGGUAAUAC